rnacentral:rRNA from 1 species
UACGAAGGGGGCUAGCGUUGCUCGGAAUCACUGGGCGUAAAGGGUGCGUAGGCGGGUCUUUAAGUCAGGGGUGAAAUCCUGGAGCUCAACUCCAGAACUGCCUUUGGUACUGAAGAUCUUGAGUUCGGGAGAGGUGAGUGGAACUGCGAGUGUAGAGGUGAAAUUCGUAGAUAUUCGGAGGAACACCAGUGGCGAAGGCGGCUCACUGGCUCGACACUGACGCUGAGGUGCGAAAGCGUGGGGAGCAAACAGG